GAUCCUGGCUCAGGACGAACGCUGGCGGCGCGCCUAACACAUGCAAGUCGAACGGAGUUAUUUUGACAGAAGCUUUCGGGCAGACGUUGAUAUAACUUAGUGGCGAACGGGUGAGUAACACGUGAGCAACCUGCCCUUCAGAGGGGGACAACAGUUGGAAACGACUGCUAAUACCGCAUAAGACCACGGUGUGGCAUCACACAGAGGUCAAAGGAGAAAUCCGCUGAAGGAUGGGCUCGCG
rnacentral:rRNA from 1 species